CCUACGGGUGGCUGCAGUGGGGAAUAUUGGACAAUGGGCGAAAGCCUGAUCCAGCCAUGCCGCGUGUGUGAAGAAGGCCUUCGGGUUGUAAAGCACUUUCAGUGGGGAAGAAAGCCUUGGGGCUAAUACCCUCGAGGAAGGACAUCACCCACAGAAGAAGCACCGGCUAACUCCGUGCCAGCAGCCGCGGUAAUACGGAGGGUGCGAGCGUUAAUCGGAAUUACUGGGCGUAAAGCGCGCGUAGGCGGUCUGAUAAGCCGGUUGUGAAAGCCCCGGGCUCAACCUGGGAACGGCAUCCGGAACUGUCAGGCUAGAGUGCAGGAGAGGAAGGUAGAAUUCCCGGUGUAGCGGUGAAAUGCGUAGAGAUCGGGAGGAAUACCAGUGGCGAAGGCGGCCUUCUGGACUGAAACUGACGCUGAGGUGCGAAAGCGUGGGUAGCAAACAGGAUUAGAUACCCCAGUAGUC
rnacentral:rRNA from 1 species